GAUUGAUUUACCUUGUCCUAUAAACAUCCUGAGAUGCUCCAGUGCAGGAACCAUGCUACCCAUUUUAUCCGAUGCACAGGCCUCUGGCAUAAGGAUGAGCUUGCAGAGAGGAGAGAAUUGUGUUUCCAUGGGAACCCUUCCCAAAUAACACCAUGAUGUCAGCGAAUUUAAGUGCUUUGUCCAUCAAGAUGGGAAGUCUUAUUCCAUUAUACACACAAAAAAAUCGAGACUCAGAGUUGCAAAGUGAGUUUCCCUGCAUCACACAGCAAAAGGCUGAUUAAAAUCUAGUGCGACCCAAUCGUCAUUCUUCCAGAUACACAUCUACCCCUCAUAAUGGCACCCGAGGGACUGUGUGACUCAGUGCUGCACCUCAGAGCCUGGCGUCGGCUGGGUCACCUCCUACCUGUGUGGCUGUGAGUGGGUUCCUUAGUCUUCUGUGCCUUGUGCUCUUCACGUGCUGACUUGGGGGAUAUGGCCAACAUCUCUUUCGUAGGGUACCGGCAAGGACAAUAUGGUUCGUAUCUGGGAAGUGCUGAGUGUCUGCAAUAGAAAGUGCCAUGAAUGCCAGGCAUACCUGUCAUCCCAUAGAAAGUGCCACUCCCAGCUACUUGGGAGCCAACCAGGGAAUGUAGUGAGACUCUGC
rnacentral:lncRNA from 1 species